GACGAACGCUGGCGGCGUGCUUAACACAUGCAAGUCGAACGGAAAGGCCCUGCUUUUGUGGGGUGCUCGAGUGGCGAACGGGUGAGUAACACGUGAGUAACCUGCCCUUGACUUUGGGAUAACUUCAGGAAACUGGGGCUAAUACCGGAUAGGAGCUCCUGCUGCAUGGUGGUGUUGGAAAGUUUCGGCGGUUGGGGAUGGACUCGCGGCUUAUCAGCUUGUUGGUGGGGUAGUGGCUUACCAAGGCUUUGACGGGUAGCCGGCCUGAGAGGGUGACCGGCCACAUUGGGACUGAGAUACGGCCCAGACUCCUACGGGAGGCAGCAGUGGGGAAUAUUGCACAAUGGGCGGAAGCCUGAUGCAGCAACGCCGCGUGCGGGAUGACGGCCUUCGGGUUGUAAACCGCUUUCGCCUGUGACGAAGCGUGAGUGACGGUAAUGGGUAAAGAAGCACCGGCUAACUACGU
rnacentral:rRNA from 1 species